rnacentral:rRNA from 1 species
GAUGAACGCUGGCGGCGUGCCUAAUACAUGCAAGUCGAACGCACAGCGAAAGGUGCUUGCACCUUUCAAGUGAGUGGCGAACGGGUGAGUAACACGUGGACAACCUGCCUCAAGGCUGGGGAUAACAUUUGGAAACAGAUGCUAAUACCGAAUAAAACUCAGUGUCGCAUGACACAAAGUUAAAAGGCGCUUUGGCGUCACCUAGAGAUGGAUCCGCGGUGCAUUAGUUAGUUGGUGGAGUAAAGGCCUACCAAGACAAUGAUGCAUAGCCGAGUUGAGAGACUGAUCGGCCACAUUGGGACUGAGACACGGCCCAAACUCCUACGGGAGGCUGCAGUAGGGAAUCUUCCACAAUGGGCGAAAGCCUGAUGGAGCAACGCCGCGUGUGUGAUGAAGGCUUUCGGGUCGUAAAGCACUGUUGUAUGGGAAGAACAGCUAGAAUAGGGAAUGAUCUUAGUUUGACGGUACCAUACCAGAAAGGGACGGCUAAAUAC